rnacentral:rRNA from 1 species
AUUGAACGCUAGCGGGAUGCUUUACCCAUGCAAGUCGAACGGAGUUGCGGACGGGUGAGUAAUAUAUCGGAACUUGCCCAGUAGCCUGGGAUAACUACUCGAAAUUGUGGCUAAUACCGCAUACUCUUGGAGCGGCCGAUAUCGGAUUAGCUUGUUGGUGGGGUAAAGGCUCACAAAGGCAACGAUCCGUAGCUGGUUUGAGUGGACGACCAGACACACUGGGACGGAGAAACGACCCAGAGUCGUACGGGAGGCAGCAGUGGGGAAUUUUGGACAAUGGGGGAAACCCUGAUCCAGCGAUCCCGCGUGUAUGAUGAAGGCCUUCGGGUUGUAAAGUACUUUUGGCAGAGAAGCGGUAUCUGCAGAAUAAGCACCGGCUAACUACGUGCCAGCAGCCGCGGUAAUUC